UGAAAACAUGCUAUUCAAAGAUUUUUCAUUGCAGGAUCCAAAUUAUAGAGCUGUACUUCAAGAAGUCCUGAUGACCCUUCCCAUGGUACUGUGCGUGGAUACAACUGCUU